rnacentral:misc_RNA from 1 species
AGACGCCAUUUGCACGUUUCUCUGGUUUUCUUCUCUCUUCUGGCUUGUCAAGUUCGAGCUGUCGAAUCAUAUCUGAGCCAUUCAUCUUGCACACAAAGCGAGAUCGGACAACAGGGAAAGAAGGAAGGAAACAAGGAGAAUUCGCGGGGGCGAUGAUCAGUUUUGGAUAAGCGGAGAGAUGAGGAGAAACGGUGAGAGAGUUUGAGAAAGAGCUAUAAGAAGCCAUGGGCAUAAAAGUGCAGGAAAAACAAGGUUUCAUCGUCGAAAGUUGGUGCAACCGAAGCCGAAACAGCCCCAUCAUUUCCAGC